GUCCCCAUAGCUCAGUUGGUAGAGGAUUCGCCUAGAUAGCGAAAGGCCCCCAGUUCAAGCCUGGGUGGAGGCA
rnacentral:tRNA from 1 species